CCUUGGCAAAAUGAGAUAGGGUGAAGAAGCCUAGAAGGGUGCGGACGGCCAGUCUCAGCCGAGCGAAGCGAGACCACGUUGCCUUCAGGCAACGCCCGAAGGGGCGCGAGCUUGCGAGCGAUAAAUCCCUAUCUCUCCGCCA
rnacentral:sRNA from 1 species